UACGGGGGGGGUAAGCGUUGUUCGGAAUUACUGGGCGUAAAGGGCUCGUAGGCGGCCAACUAAGUCAGACGUGAAAUCCCUCAGCUUAACUGGGGAACUGCGUCUGAUACUGGAUGGCUUGGAUUUGGGAGAGGGAUGCGGAAUUCCAGGUGUAGCGGUGAAAUGACGUAGAUAUCUGGAGGAACACCGGUGGCGAAGGCGGCAUCCUGGACCAAUAUUGACGCUGAGGAACGAAGCAAGG
rnacentral:rRNA from 1 species